GACGAACGCUGGCGGCGUGCUUAACACAUGCAAGUCGAACGGAAAGGCCCUGCUUUUGUGGGGUGCUCGAGUGGCGAACGGGUGAGUAACACGUGAGUAACCUGCCCUUGACUUUGGGAUAACUUCAGGAAACUGGGGCUAAUACCGGAUAGGAUCUCCUGCUGCAUUGUGGGGGGUGGAAAGUUUCGGCGGUUGGGGAUGGACUCGCGGCUUAUCAGCUUGUUGGUGGGGUAGUGGCUUACCAAGGCUUUGACGGGUAGCCGGCCUGAGAGGGUGACCGGCCACAUUGGGACUGAGAUACGGCCCAGACUCCUACGGGAGGCAGCAGUGGGGAAUAUUGCACAAUGGGCGGAAGCCUGAUGCAGCAACGCCGCGUGCGGGAUGACGGCCUUCGGGUUGUAAACCGCUUUCGCCUGUGACGAAGCGUGAGUGACGGUAAUGGGUAAAGAAGCACCGGCUAACUACGUG
rnacentral:rRNA from 1 species